GUACGAACGCUGGCGGCGUGCCUAACACAUGCAAGUCAACGGGGUAGUUCCUUCGGGGGACUACUUAGUGGCGAAACGGGUGAGUAACGCGUGAGAAACCUGCCUUUCAGUGGGGGACAACAGUUGGAAACGACUGCUAAUACCGCAUAACAUACGGAUACCGCAUGAUAACCGUAUCAAAGGAGCAAUCCGCUGUAAGAUGGACUCGCGUCCGAUUAGAUAGUUGGUGGGGUAACGGCCUACCAAGUCAACGAUCGGUAGCCGGACUGAGAGGUUGAACGGCCACAUUGGGACUGAGAUACGGCCCAGACUCCUACGGGAGGCAGCAGUCGGGAAUAUUGCGCAAUGGAGGAAACUCUGACGCAGUGACGCCGCGUAUAGGAAGAAGGUUUUCGGAUUGUAAACUAUUGUCUGCAGGGAAGAAACAAGACUGUACCUGCAAAGAAAGCUCCGGCUAACUACGUG
rnacentral:rRNA from 1 species